rnacentral:rRNA from 1 species
CCUACGGGAGGCAGCAGUGAGGAAUAUUGGUCAAUGGACGCAAGUCUGAACCAGCCAUGCCGCGUGCAGGAAGACGGCUCUAUGAGUUGUAAACUGCUUUUGUACCAGGGUAAACGCAGAUACGCGUAUCUUUUUGAAAGUAUCGUACGAAUAAGGAUCGGCUAACUCUGUGCCAGCAGCCGCGGUAAUACGGAGGAUUCAAGCGUUAUCCGGAUUUAUUGGGUUUAACGGGUGCGUAGGCGGUCGGAUAAGUUAGAGGUGAAAUCCCGAGGCUCAACUUCGGCGUUGCCUCUGAUACUGUUGGGCUAGAGAGCAGAUGCGGUAGGCGGAAUGUGUGGUGUAGCGGUGAAAUGCUUAGAGAUCAUACAGAACACCGAUUGCGAAGGCAGCUUGCCAGGCUGCAUCUGACGUUGAGGCACGAAAGCGUGGGGAGCGAACAGGAUUAGAUACCCCUGUAGUC